rnacentral:rRNA from 1 species
GGAUAGUGGCGACGGGUGAGUAACACGUGAGCAAUCUGCCCCUGACUCUGGGAUAACAGUUGGAAACAGCUGCUAAUACCGGAUAUGAGACGUGACCGCAUGGUCGACGUUUGGAAAGAAUUUCGGUCAGGGAUGAGCUCGCGGCCUAUCAGCUUGUUGGUGAGGUAAUGGCUCACCAAGGCGUCGACGGGUAGCCGGCCUGAGAGGGUGACCGGCCACACUGGGACUGAGACACGGCCCAGACUCCUACGGGAGGCAGCAGUGGGGAAUAUUGCACAAUGGGCGAAAGCCUGAUGCAGCAACGCCGCGUGAGGGACGACGGCCUUCGGGUUGUAAACCUCUUUUAGCAGGGAAGAAGCGAAAGUGACGGUACCUGCAGAAAAAGCGCCGGCUAACUACGUGCCAGCAGCCGCGGUAAUACGUAGGGCGCAAGCGUUAUCCGGAAUUAUUGGGCGUAAAGAGCUCGUAGGCGGUUUGUCGCGUCUGCUGUGAAAACUGGAGGCUCAACCUCCAGCCUGCAGUGGGUACGGGCAGACUAGAGUGCGGUAGGGGAGAUUGGAAUUCCUGGUGUAGCGGUGGAAUGCGCAGAUAUCAGGAGGAACACCGAUGGCGAAGGCAGAUCUCUGGGCCGUAACUGACGCUGAGGAGCGAAAGGGUGGGGAGCAAACAGGCUUAGAUACCCUGGUAGUCCACCCCGUAAACGUUGGGAACUAGUUGUGGGGUCCAUUCCACGGAUUCCGUGACGCAGCUAACGCAUUAAGUUCCCCGCCUGGGGAGUACGGCCGCAAGGCUAAACUCAAGGAAUUGACGGGACCGCACAGCGCGAGCAUGCGAUUAGUCGAUGCAACGCGAAGA